rnacentral:rRNA from 1 species
UGCAUAUCAAAUAAGCGGAGGAAAAGAAACCAACAGGGAUUGCCUUAGUAGCGGCGAGUGAAGCGGCAAAAGCUCAAAUUUGAAAUCUGGCACUUUCAGUGUCCGAGUUGUAAUUUGAAGAAGGUAUCUUUGGGUCUGGCUCUUGUCUAUGUUUCUUGGAACAGAACGUCACAGAGGGUGAGAAUCCCGUGCGAUGAGAUGUCCCAGACCUAUGUAAAGUUCCUUCGAAGAGUCGAGUUGUUUGGGAAUGCAGCUCUAAGUGGGUGGUAAAUUCCAUCUAAAGCUAAAUAUUGGCGAGAGACCGAUAGCGAACAAGUACAGUGAUGGAAAGAUGAAAAGAACUUUGAAAAGAGAGUGAAAAAGUACGUGAAAUUGUUGAAAGGGAAGGGCUUGAGAUCAGACUUGGUAUUUUGUAUGUUACUCUCUCGGGGGUGGCCUCUACAGUUUACCGGGCCAGCAUCAGUUUGAGCGGUAGGAUAAGUGCAAAGAAAUGUGGCACUGCUUCGGUAGUGUGUUAUAGUCUUUGUCGAUACUGCCAGCUUAGACUGAGGACUGCGGCUUCGGCCUAGGAUGUUGGCAUAAUGAUCUUAAGUCGCCCGUCUUGAACCAACGGACCA